AAAUUCUUAGUGGCGGACGGGUUAGUAACACGUGAGAAUCCUACCCUUGAGUGGGGAAUAGCCUUUCGAAAGGAAGAUUAAUGCCCCAUAGUCUCUACGGAGUAAAGAUGCCUUCGGGUGUCGCUUAAGGAUGGGCUCGCGGCCUAUCAGCUAGUUGGUGAGGUAAGAGCUCACCAAGGCAACGACGGGUAGCUGGUCUGAGAGGACGAUCAGCAACACUGGAACUGAGACACGGUCCAGACACCUACGGGUGGCAGCAGUCGAGAAUCAUUCACAAUGGACGAAAGUCUGAUGGUGCAACGCCGCGUGGAGGAUGACGGCCCUAGGGUUGUAAACUCCUGUCAUCAGGGAGUAAGACUUAUUCGUUAAUAGCGUGUAAGUUUGAUAGUACCUGAAGAGGAAGGGACGGCUAACUUCGUGCCAGCAGCCGCGGUAAUACGAAGGUCCCAAGCGUUGUUCGGAAUAACUGGGCGUAAAGCGUGUGUA
rnacentral:rRNA from 1 species